CAGCCGUAAACUAUGCGCGUUAGGUGUAUCGGUGACCACGAGUUACCGAGGUGCCGAAGGGAAACCGUGAAACGUGCCGCCUGGGAAGUACGGUCGCAAGGCUGAAACUUAAAGGAAUUGGCGGGGGAGCACCACAACAGGUGGAGCCUGCGGUUUAAUUGGACUCAACGCCGGGAAGCUCACCGGAUAGGACAGCAGAAGUGAUUGCCGGGCUGAAGACCCUGCAUGACUAGCUGAGAGGAGGUGCAUGGCGUAGACGUCU
rnacentral:rRNA from 1 species